rnacentral:tRNA from 1 species
AUUUAAAUAGCUUAAUAUAAAGCAUAGUAUUGAAGAUACUAGUAUAAUUGUUUAAUUUUUAAAUA